rnacentral:rRNA from 1 species
GUGGAUUAGAUACCCUGGUAGUCCACGCCCUAAACGAUGAUCACUGGGUGUUGGGGGAGCGAUUUCUCAGUACCGUAGCUAACGCGUGAAGUGAUCCGCCUGGGGAGUACGGCCGCAAGGUUAAAACUCAAAGGAAUUGACGGGGACCCGCACAAGCGGUGGAUGAUGUGGAUUAAUUCGAUGCAACGCGAAUAACCUUACCUACCCUUGACAUGUCCGGAAGCCUGCCGAGAGGCGGAGGUGCCCGAAAGGGAACCGGAACACAGGUGCUGCACGGUUGUCGUCAACU